rnacentral:rRNA from 1 species
GAGUUUGAUCCUGGCUCGGAUUGAACGCUGGCGGCAUGCCUUACACAUGCAAGUCGAACGGCAGCAUGAUCUAGCUUGCUAGAUUGAUGGCGAGUGGCGAACGGGUGAGUAAUACAUCGGAACGUGCCCUGUAGUGGGGGAUAACUAGUCGAAAGAUUAGCUAAUACCGCAUACGACCUGAGGGUGAAAGUGGGGGACCGCAAGGCCUCAUGCUAUAGGAGCGGCUGAUGUCUGAUUAGCUAGUUGGUGGGGUAAAGGCCCACCAAGGCGACGAUCAGUAGCUGGUCUGAGAGGACGAUCAGCCACACUGGGACUGAGACACGGCCCAGACUCCUACGGGAGGCAGCAGUGGGGAAUUUUGGACAAUGGGCGAAAGCCUGAUCCAGCAAUGCCGCGUGUGUGAAGAAGGCCUCGGUGU